CCUACGGGUGGCAGCAGUGAGGAAUAUUGGUCAAUGGACGAGAGUCUGAACCAGCCAAGUAGCGUGAAGGAUGACUGCUCUAUGGGUUGUAAACUUCUUUUAUAUGGGAAUAAAACGUUCCACGUGUGGGAUUUUGUAUGUACCAUAUGAAUAAGGAUCGGCUAACUCCGUGCCAGCAGCCGCGGUAAUACGGAGGAUCCGAGCGUUAUCCGGAUUUAUUGGGUUUAAAGGGAGCGUAGGUGGAUUGUUAAGUCAGUUGUGAAAGUUUGCGGCUCAACCGUAAAAUUGCAGUUGAAACUGGCAGUCUUGAGUACAGUAGAGGUGGGCGGAAUUCGUGGUGUAGCGGUGAAAUGCUUAGAUAUCACGAAGAACUCCGAUUGCGAAGGCAGUUCACUGGACUGCAACUGACACUGAGGCUCGAAAGUGUGGGUAUCAAACAGGAUUAGAUACCCCUGUAGUC
rnacentral:rRNA from 1 species